rnacentral:misc_RNA from 1 species
AAAAAAUCAACGAGUGGAGCCACUAAAAUAUCAGACUGCACACUGCGGCAAGGAGCCUAGUCAUCAAGAAAACUGUGUUCACGUAAACGCAGCGCCCCCCCUCAAGAAAACAUUAUAAAUACACGAAUUGCAUGGGUGUUGGUCAGUUGGCAAAAGGUGCAUUAUAGUUCUGUUCUUGGGGUGGUGAGUGGAGGAGGUAAAGUGGUGGUCUUGGUUUAACCAAGAUUAGAUCAGUCAUGGCCAGCCGCUUUGUCAUUUUUAGGCUGCUUUUCUUGCUUCUCUCUCUUUCAGGUUGGUUCUUGUUUCACUAACUUUGCUGGGUUUUGCUAUUUGUUUGUUUACUGGGUAACUGCUGGAACAGAAAACAGAAUGAAAGGAACUUGAAGCUUGAACUGUUUCUUUUCUUUUCUUUGUUUGUAAAUUUCACAGGAUGGUGACCUGCUGCCUACUUGGGCAUAAUGGGUAAAACUUCAUACAACUGAAAAUUUUAUCUUAUCCUGAAUUUGCCUCAGGGAAAAUAACAGGAUCCUGUGGUAUAACUUCGGUUUUGGAUUAAUGGUUUUGAUGAGAAUGGAUAUUAAUUCGAUUAAAUAUAAUUAAGGGAGUCUAAUUUUUCUAUUUGCUCUGAGUUUGUCUUGAUCUGAAUUUGAUAAUGAUUUGCUUAUGCAUUUUUUCUUACACGAAGUUAACAAAAUCUUGCAUUGGAACUUGUUUGUUGGGGCUGAAUCUCAAUUAUAAUGAAAAGGGUUUAAUUCUUUUAUGAUGUUGGAAUUUUUGUAGGUAUAUUGACCAUUAGUUGCAUGUAAGUUACGGUUAAAUGUUGAACGCUGUUCUUUUUCAGAUUCAAUUGUUCAAAUACACAGCGAUGGAUUUGGGAUUAACUAUGGCCAGAUUGCCAACAAUCUCCCAUCCCCAUCUCGGGUUGCGCUUCUUCUUCAAUCCCUCAACAUUACAAGGGUAAAACUCUAU